rnacentral:lncRNA from 1 species
AGCCAAUUCCAUUAUAAAUAUAAUCACAACCUCUUCACAAAAGCAUAUAUUUAUGUACAUGUAUUCAUCAUAGAAACUAAGCCGAGAUAAAAAAAUCUUCUAUUGUUCUAUUCAAAUUUCACUUGAAUUUAUUUUCCUUUUCAACAUAAAACCUUGGGAUCUCCAAUAACAUAGGUACGGCUAUCAUUAACAUUCUCUUAGUAUAUUUAGACCCAUUAAUUUUGAUGAUCUUACAACUUGAUUUCAGGAGAAACCUUGAAUCCAAAAGGUUAUCGUUUGACUUAAUGUAAUAUAUUGUGAUUACAGAUUAUUUUUUUUUCUUUUUUUUCAUCAAAAUGCUAUUGUAUUACUCAAACUUGAGUAGGUCUGGAUAACCAAACCGGAAUAGAACAACCAAUGAAAUAGAGUACUCAAUGGAAAGAUCUCGCAGUCCUAACUAAAAAUUCUGAAAUUUGAUUUUGCCCUCGUAGAAUAUGAGUAAGCUUAAAGUCCGGGAAGCAUAUCCUGAGAGUUUCUAUCCUCUCCAAUUCUGUCGCAAAGAUCGACCAAGCAUGAGUCUCAUUGAUCAUUUCAAUCAAAUCCUUGUAGUCCGUUCCAAAACUUUGACAAGUCGAAUACUGGAGCAUGAUCUCCAUUGCCCAUCUCAGUGCUUCCAUCUCCGAAUGUAAGGCAGACUCUCUUCGAAUAUGAUUCGGUGUCCUCAUAAGUUGAAGCUUCCUCAAGCUGUCAAGCCAGACCCAUCCAUAUCCACUAAACUAUGCAGUCGAUGUCCAUGACCCAUCUAUCAUGCAGAUAUUACCCAAGCAUAGACUUGAGGUUCUUCAAUAUUUAGAGCUUGUGGAGCUGUUGGUAUCAUCUCAUUUACAUUAAACCAGACUUGACACUCACUCUCCGCAUAUCAGACUAGCUUCAAAGGAUCCCUGUCAAUUCCCCUAAAGAGUUU